UGUUGUCAAAAUGUGUCU
rnacentral:siRNA from 1 species